CGGACUUAGUGGCGGACGGGUGAGUAACGCGUGGGUAACCUGCCCUGUACAGGGGGACAACAGCCGGAAACGGCUGCUAAUACCGCAUAAGCCUGCGGGGCCGCAUGGCCCGGCAGGAAAAGCUGCGGCGGUACAGGAUGGGCCCGCGUCUGAUUAGCCAGUUGGCGGGGUAACGGCCCACCAAAGCAACGAUCAGUAGCCGGCUUGAGAGAGCGAACGGCCACAUUGGGACUGAGACACGGCCCAAACUCCUACGGAAGGCAGCAG
rnacentral:rRNA from 1 species